rnacentral:rRNA from 1 species
AUUCUGGCUCAGGAUGAACGCUGGCGGCGUGCUUAACACAUGCAAGUCGAACGGGAUCCAUCAGGCUUUGCUUGGUGGUGAGAGUGGCGAACGGGUGAGUAAUGCGUGACCGACCUGCCCCAUACACCGGAAUAGCUCCUGGAAACGGGUGGUAAUGCCGGAUGCUCCAGUUGGAUGCAUGUCCUUCUGGGAAAGAUUCAUCGGUAUGGGAUGGGGUCGCGUCCUAUCAGCUUGAUGGCGGGGUAACGGCCCACCAUGGCUUCGACGGGUAGCCGGCCUGAGAGGGCGACCGGCCACAUUGGGACUGAGAUACGGCCCAGACUCCUACGGGAGGCAGCAGUGGGGAAUAUUGCACAAUGGGCGCAAGCCUGAUGCAGCGACGCCGCGUGCGGGAUGACGGCCUUCGGGUUGUAAACCGCUUUUGACUGGGAGCAAGCCCUUCGGGGUGAGUGUACCUUUCGAAUAAGCACCGGCUAACUACGUGCCAGCAGCCGCGGUAAUACGUAGGGUGCAAGCGUUAUCCGGAAUUAUUGGGCGUAAAGGGCUCGUAGGCGGUUCGUCGCGUCCGGUGUGAAAGUCCAUCGCUUAACGGUGGAUCCGCGCCGGGUACGGGCGGGCUUGAGUGCGGUAGGGGAGACUGGAAUUCCCGGUGUAACGGUGGAAUGUGUAGAUAUCGGGAAGAACACCAAUGGCGAAGGCAGGUCUCUGGGCCGUCACUGACGCUGAGGAGCGAAAGCGUGGGGAGCGAACAGGAUUAGAUACCCUGGUAGUCCACGCCGUAAACGGUGGAUGCUGGAUGUGGGGACCAUUCCACGGUCUCCGUGUCGGAGCCAACGCGUUAAGCAUCCCGCCUGGGGAGUACGGCCGCAAGGCUAAAACUCAAAGAAAUUGACGGGGGCCCGCACAAGCGGCGGAGCAUGCGGAUUAAUUCGAUGCAACGCGAAGAACCUUACCUGGGCUUGACAUGUUCCCGACAGCCGUAGAGAUACGGUCUCCCUUCGGGGCGGGUUCACAGGUGGUGCAUGGUCGUCGUCAGCUCGUGUCGUGAGAUGUUGGGUUAAGUCCCGCAACGAGCGCAACCCU